UUUAUUACUCUUUUUAAGGUCACGCACACACAACCCUACAACCUUCACUAAAAUUAGAGACAAAAAGCUAUACAAAAAAAGAAGCUUUCAGGUAGGAUGAUUCCCCUGUGUCUGCUAUGUGCCAAAUUGCCAACUCAAAAGCUAGCUGGAAGAGGCAUGGUGGAAAUUGUCACCAUGAAGCUCAAACUGAUUUUAGCAAGCAAUUUCAAGUCUCCAGUACUGCCAAUUGUGACCAUUUCGUAUCCACCAACAUCACUGUCCAUCCUGGUUUGAGCUUUCUGUGCUACAAUAUAUAUUUCUAUAUUUCUUUUCUU
rnacentral:misc_RNA from 1 species